AGUGAACGCUGGCGGUAGGCCUAACACAUGCAGGUCGAACGGCAGCACAGUAAGAGCUUGCUCUUACGGGUGGCGAGUGGCGGACGGGUGAGGAAUACAUCGGAAUCUACUUUUUCGUGGGGGAUAACGUAAGGAAACUUACGCUAAUACCGCAUACGACCUACGGGUGAAAGCAGGGGAUCUUCGGACCUUGCGCGAUUGAAUGAGCCGAUGUCGGAUUAGCUAGUUGGCGGGGUAAAGGCCCACCAAGGCGACGAUCCGUAGCUGGUCUGAGAGGAUGAUCAGCCACACUGGAACUGAGACACGGUCCAGACUCCUACGGGAGGCAGCAGUGGGGAAUAUUGGACAAUGGGCGCAAGCCUGAUCCAGCCAUACCGCGUGGGUGAAGAAGGCCUUCGGGUUGUAAAGCCCUUUUGUUGGGAAAGAAAAGCAGCAGGUUAAUACCCCGCUGUUCUGACGGUACCCAAAGAAUAAGCACCGGCUAACUUCGUG
rnacentral:rRNA from 1 species